GGCUAUGAAAGCAAUCUGGCUGAGACAUCAGUCACCCUGUGAUGACCAGGGUUGAUUUGGUUGAUCGGGCUGGCUAGGCAGUUGUCCUCUUUUGUCCUCAACACUCCUUUUAUGUCCAUCCUCAAACUGUACACUUGGUCAAAGAUAACAACCACUAUCAAUAAAAGAGGACCCUUCCUCAGCCAAGGGUAUAUGAGUAAGUGUGCUCCCCCUCUCCUCUACCUCCAAACACGUACUAAAGAAACAUAGGUCUGGACCUCUUUGU
rnacentral:snRNA from 1 species